rnacentral:tRNA from 1 species
CGGGGCGUGGCGCAACGGUGGCGCACGUGCUUUGGGAGCACGAGGAUGUGGGUUCGAAUCCCACCGCCCCGACCA